ACGCAGGUCGGGGUCCUUCUCAAACUCCCAGGAAGGUAUAAAAUCAGGCUGUGCCACCGUUUCCUGUUGACCAGAGACGAUAUCACACUUUUAUUUCGCUCUCAAUGGGACGAGCACCAUGGAUUUGAUAAUUACUGUGACUCUUUUCUGUUCAGUGCUAAAAGCUGCAGCCGGCUUCAAUAUUGAAUCAGAUUCUUGGAAAACCCUGAAUCAUUCUGAUGAAAGUUUUGGAUACCAGGUGGUGCAAAGACGAUCAGACCUGCUUGUCAGCGCCCCACGACUGCAGUAUGAAAAUGAUAAAACAGGACAGAUAUUUCAGUGCUCAACAGAUCGUUGCCGCCCUCUGUUUACUGCAGAGCGAAGAGCUGCAGUCAACAUGUCCCUUGGUUUGGUGAUGACACUUGAUCCUUCAGCACAAAACACAAUGAUCUGUGGUUCAACCAUUCUUAGUGACUGCACAACUAACACCAGGUACAACAGCUUGUGCUUUGAGAUCGAUUCAAAUAAUGAGCUUGUGAAGUCUUACCUGCCUGCGACUGAAGAGUGUCGAACCCAAGCUGACAUUGCAUUUCUGCUGGAUGGCUCAGGGAGUGUACGUGAUGAUGAUUUCAGCAGAAUGAAAACAUUUGUGAAAAAUAUGAUCAGAACAUUCCUGGGAAGAGAUACACAGUUUGCCAUUACCCAGUUUUCAAGUUCUCCAACAACACAUUACUACUUUAACACUUUUAGAACUUCCAACUGGGAAUCUCAAAUUGACAACAUCCAUCAAUCAGGUGAAGGAACAUAUACAGCUAACGCCAUAAAAAAUGUUGUAGAUGACGUCUUCUCACCACAAAAGGGUUCCAGGUCAAAUGUGAAAAGAAUUUUAAUAGUGAUUACAGAUGGAGAGUCCCAAGAUCGCCAAUACUUACCAACAGUAACACAAUCAGCUGAUCGAAAAAACAUUAUUCGAUUUGUUAUUGGGGUGGGGAACGCAUUCACAAAUACAGGAGCAAAACAAGAGCUCAUAACGAUUGCAUCUCAUCCUGCUGACAAUUUUGUGUUUGAAGUGGGAAGCUUUGAUGCUCUUGACAGAAUACGGGAGACCUUGCAGGCCAAAAUUAAUUCCUUUCAAGUGGGAAGCUUUGGUGCGCUUGACAGAAUAUGGGAGACCUUGCAGGCCAAAAUUAAUUCCAUCGAAGGUUAUUCCAUAGUAGUUGCUAAAACCAACAAUGGUCCACUGACGAUUCUUGGUGCUCCAAGAAAUCAGAACAAAGGAUUUGUUACGACAGUUUUCAAUGAACAACUGAGAGAUGAAAUCAGACCCUUUCAAUCACAGACUGGUGAAUAUUUUGGGGCUGAGGUUUGUGCCAUGGAUGUGGAUAAUGACGGUGUGACUGAUCUAAUCCUCAUAUCCUCUCCGAUGUACAAAGACUCUGAUAGAGAAGGACGAGUUUAUGUCUGUGAAUUAAGUGGUUUGAAUGUGGUUUGUUAUUUUGAUAAUCCAUCACAAAUAACCACACUAAGAGGUGAUGCGUCUGUCAGAGGGAGGUUUGGCUCAUCUCUUGCUGUUCUACCUGAUAUAAAUGCAGACACAUUCAAUGAUUUGGCUGUUGGAGCUCCUUUGGAGAAUGAUGGCCAAGGCAGCAUCUACAUAUUUCAAGGAGAAGGAGGAAGAAAAAUAAAUCCUACUUAUUCACAGAGAAUUGCUGCAUCUGCCGUCCAAUCAGGCCUGAAGUUAUUUGGCAUCUCAAUCAGUCAGUCUUCCUACGAUCAGAGUCGUGAUGGACUUCCUGACUUAGCAGUGGGUUCAAAGGGAAAAGUUGUCAUACUCAGAUCCAGACCAGUUGUAACAGUGACUGCCACUGUGUCGUUCAACCCAAAUCUGAUCCCAACUCAAAACCCAGACUGUUCAAAACCACUGUCAAGCAAGGCUACUGUCUGCUUUACUAUGAGCAAACUGUCUAAUGUGAAUGAAGCUCAAGCACAGGUUAAUUUCACUUUAACGUUGGACGCAAAUCGUAAGAUACCAAACAACCGAGCUGAGAUCAGCAAGGAUGUGAGGCACAAGAGUGGAUCUCUUAAUCUUAAUUUAAAUAGGAAAGAAUGCAUUGAUGUGGACUUUUUUAUUGAGUCUUGUCCAGAAGAUGCUCUCAAUCCACUCAAUAAUGAGCUCAGAUUCACGUUUGAUGGUUUAGUUUCUGGCUCAAACCCUAGACCAAGCCUUUCUCCACAGGUUCAAACCACAACAUUUCAUUAUCUUGGCUUUGAGACCAGAUGAGGAGCUGAUGAAGCGUGUGAAGAUAAUUUGAAGGCAGAAGGCCGACUUUGUAACUGUCUUCAUGUGGCUCUGAAUGUUCAGGCUGGAUUUUUCAUAAUCAAUGACAACAAUGUGAUGAGAGUAAAUGCAGGAGGAGAAGCCGGACCUGAAGGACAAACACUCAGAGAAGGACAAAAUUCCCUCUUAUCUGUUAUCUCCAGCCAGUACAUUUUUAAUGAUCAAUGUUUCUAUGAAAUGUAACUGAUGGCCUUUUAAUUUAUUGAAUGGGCCAAACACAAUGUGUAUUUUCCAAAUCAUUACUUGUUAAUUGCUACCUUGAAAUGCAAACUAUCUGGUAAAAAUGUAGUUUCUCUUUCUAUGAGGAAAGUGUUGAUUAAAACUGCU